ACAUAAUCCCUCUUAUUAUAAAACGCGGUAUCAAAUAAGUAUCGGCUUUUGUACUACCUUUAAUCCAGCUGUAAGUACGACCUUGAAAAAACGUUAUUACAAAACGCAGUUUAUCGCAAGUCCUAUUACUAUCUGUAGUACAAAAGAUAAACCAUCGAGCCCCCUAGUUUAACUGCAGUACUUAGUCGACAAACGUCAAAUUCCGUCAUUAUUUACUUUUGAGGUUAUUUGUUUUGUGAUGAAAAAAACGAAAGUGGAUAUAAAUAUGUGUGAUUUGGAAUACUUGGAUGUGUUAGAAUACUAUUGAGAGUGUCCGGGGUCCCAACAGUGUGCGUCAUCGACAAAAUCUCUUCAAAUUAUCUGACGACAAUUUUCGAUAUGAAUAUCGAUUUAUGUUUUUCGAAAUAAUAGUCAAUUGAAUGCAUGAUGAUAAUCCAUGAUGAUCCUAUGAUGCUCAACUGGGCUCGCCAUAAGAUUCAAGACUAUUUUGGCGUUUUGCACGCCGUAUCUUUGCCAGUAAUAUGCAAUGUUUGUAAAAGACUGGAAGCUUGCUAAAAUGUAGGUACAAAAAUGCCAAGAUGAACAAGGGAACAAGAUUGUGUGAUGAUGAAGAACAGUGUCCAACAUGUAUCAGUGCGUUUGACUGUAUAAAUAGACAUCGGAAUAAAAUAUAAACUUGUA
rnacentral:lncRNA from 1 species